UGUUGUAAAUAAUGUUGUAUCUGUGGUC
rnacentral:piRNA from 1 species